GGACGAACGCUGGCGGCGUGCCUAAUACAUGCAAGUCGAACGGUCUUUCUAUGGAAGCUUGCUUCCACUGAGAAGAUAGUGGCGAACGGGUGGAGUAACGAACGUGGGGUAACCCUGCCCCAGUAAGAGGGGGGAGUAACAUCCGGAAACGGGUGCUAAUACCGCAUAGUUUUCUUGAUCGCAUGAUCGGGAAAGGAAAGACGGCCUUUGUGCUGUCGCUUAUGGAUGGACCCGCGGCGUAUUAGUUAGUUGGUGAGGUAAUGGCUCACCAAGACGAUGAUACGUAGCCGACCUGAGAGGGUGAUCGGCCACAUUGGGACUGAGACACGGCCCAAACUCCUACGGGAGGCAGCAGUAGGGAAUCUUCCGCAAUGGACGAAAGUCUGACGGAGCAACGCCGCGUGAGUGAAAGAAGGUUUUCGGAUCGUAAAACUCUGUUGUCAGAGAAGAACAAGUUGGAGAGUAACUGCUCCAGCCUUGACGGUAUCUGACCAGAAAGCCACGGCUAACUACGUGCCAGCCGCCGC
rnacentral:rRNA from 1 species